GACGAACGCUGGCGGCGUGCUUAACACAUGCAAGUCGAACGGAAAGGCCCUGCUUUUGUGGGGUGCUCGAGUGGCGAACGGGUGAGUAACACGUGAGUAACCUGCCCUUGACUUUGGGAUAACUUCAGGAAACUGGGGCUAAUACCGGAUAGGAGCUCCUGCUGCAUGGUGGGGGUUGGAAAGUUUCGGCGGUUGGGGAUGGACUCGCGGCUUAUCAGCUUGUUGGUGGGGUAGUGGCUUACCAAGGCUUUGACGGGUAGCCGGCCUGAGAGGGUGACCGGCCACAUUGGGACUGAGAUACGGCCCAGACUCCUACGGGAGGCAGCAGUGGGGAAUAUUGCACAAUGGGCGGAAGCCUGAUGCAGCAACGCCGCGUGCGGGAUGACGGCCUUCGGGUUGUAAACCGCUUUCGCCUGUGACGAAGCGUGAGUGACGGUAAUGGGUAAAGAAGCACCGGCUAACUACGUGCCAGCAGCCGCGGUGAUACGUAGGGUGCGAGCGUUGUCCGGAUUUAUUGGGCGUAAAGGGCUCGUAGGUGGUUGAUCGCGUCGGAAGUGUAAUCUUGGGGCUUAACCCUGAGCGUGCUUUCGAUACGGGUUGACUUGAGGAAGGUAGGGGAGAACGGAAUUCUUGGUGGAGCGGUGGAAUGCGCAGAUAUCAGGAGGAACACCAGUGGCGAAGGCGGUUCUCUGGGCCUUUCCUGACGCUGAGGAGCGAAAGCGUGGGGAGCGAACAGGCUUAGAUACCCUGGUAGUCCACGCUGUAAACGGUGGGUACUAGGUGUGGGGUCCAUUCCACGGGUUCCGUGCCGUAGCUAACGCUUUAAGUACCCCGCCUGGGGAGUACGGCCGCAAGGCUAAAACUCAAAGGAAUUGACGGGGCCCCGCACAAGCGGCGGAGCAUGCGGAUUAAUUCGAUGCAACGCGUAGAACCUUACCUGGGUUUGACAUGGAUCGGGAGCGCUCAGAGAUGGGUGUGCCUCUUUUGGGGUCGGUUCACAGGUGGUGCAUGGCUGUCGUCAGCUCGUGUCGUGAGAUGUUGGGUUAAGUCCCGCAACGAGCGCAACCCUUGUUCACUGUUGCCAGCACGUUAUGGUGGGGACUCAGUGGAGACCGCCGGGGUCAACUCGGAGGAAGGUGGGGAUGACGUCAAGUCAUCAUGCCCCUUAUGUCCAGGGCUUCACGCAUGCUACAAUGGCUGGUACAGAGAGUGGCGAGCCUGUGAGGGUGAGCGAAUCUCGGAAAGCCGGUCUCAGUUCGGAUUGGGGUCUGCAACUCGACCUCAUGAAGUCGGAGUCGCUAGUAAUCGCAGAUCAGCAACGCUGCGGUGAAUACGUUCCCGGG
rnacentral:rRNA from 1 species